rnacentral:rRNA from 1 species
UGGUGGAGUGAUUUGUCUGGUUAAUUCCGUUAACGAACGAGACCUCGACCUGCUAAAUAGUUCGUCGAACUCUUCGGGGUUCGCAUGUGACUUCUUAGAGGGACUAUCGGUGUGUAGCCGAUGGAAGUUCGAGGCAAUAACA